GGUUAAGCGAUUAAGCGUACACGGUGGAUGCCCUGGCAGUCAGAGGCGAUGAAGGACGUGCUAAUCUGCGAAAAGCGCCGGCGAGGUGAUAUGAACCUUUGACCCGGCGAUGUCCGAAUGGGGAAACCCAGUGCAAUCCGUUGCACUAUCGUUAACUGAAUACAUAGGUUAACGAGGCGAACCGGGGGAACUGAAACAUCUAAGUACCCCGAGGAAAAGAAAUCAACCGAGAUUCCCCCAGUAGCGGCGAGCGAACGGGGAGCAGCCCGGAGUCUGAAUCAGCUUGUGUGUUAGUGGAACGGUCUGGAAAGUCCGGCGAUACAGGGUGAUAGCCCCGUACACGAAAGCACACAUGCUGUGAACUCGAAGAGUAGGGCGGGACACGUGGUAUCCUGUCUGAAUAUGGGGGGACCAUCCUCCAAGGCUAAAUACUCCUGACUGACCGAUAGUGAACCAGUACCGUGAGGGAAAGGCGAAAAGAACCCCGGCGAGGGGAGUGAAAAAGAACCUGAAACCGUGUACGUACAAGCAGUGGGAGCCUCUUUAUGGGGUGACUGCGUACCUUUUGUAUAAUGGGUCAGCGACUUAUAUUCUGUAGCAAGGUUAACCGUAUAGGGGAGCCGAAGGGAAACCGAGUCUUAACUGGGCGUUAAGUUGCAGGGUAUAGACCCGAAACCCGGUGAUCUAGCCAUGGGCAGGUUGAAGGUUGGGUAACACUAACUGGAGGACCGAACCGACUAAUGUUGAAAAAUUAGCGGAUGACCUGUGGCUGGGGGUGAAAGGCCAAUCAAACCGGGAGAUAGCUGGUUCUCCCCGAAAGCUAUUUAGGUAGCGCCUCGUGAACUCAUCUUCGGGGGUAGAGCACUGUUUCGGCUAGGGGGCCAUCCCGGCUUACCAACCCGAUGCAAACUACGAAUACCGAAGAAUGUUAUCACGGGAGACACACGGCGGGUGCUAACGUCCGUCGUGAAGAGGGAAACAACCCAGACCGCCAGCUAAGGUCCCAAAGUCAUGGUUAAGUGGGAAACGAUGUGGGAAGGCACAGACAGCCAGGAUGUUGGCUUAGAAGCAGCCAUCAUUUAAAGAAAGCGUAAUAGCUCACUGGUCGAGUCGGCCUGCGCGGAAGAUGUAACGGGGCUAAACCAUGCACCGAAGCUGCGGCAGCGACGCUUAUGCGUUGUUGGGUAGGGGAGCGUUCUGUAAGCCGUUGAAGGUGUGCUGUGAGGCAUGCUGGAGGUAUCAGAAGUGCGAAUGCUGACAUAAGUAACGAUAAAGCGGGUGAAAAGCCCGCUCGCCGGAAGACCAAGGGUUCCUGUCCAACGUUAAUCGGGGCAGGGUGAGUCGACCCCUAAGGCGAGGCCGAAAGGCGUAGUCGAUGGGAAACAGGUUAAUAUUCCUGUACUUGGUGUUACUGCGAAGGGGGGACGGAGAAGGCUAUGUCAGCCGGGCGACGGUUGUCCCGGUUUAAGCAUGUAGGCGGAGGUUCCAGGUAAAUCCGGUACCUUAUUAACGCUGAGGUGUGAUGACGAGGCACUACGGUGCUGAAGUGAUAAAUGCCCUGCUUCCAGGAAAAGCCUCUAAGCAUCAGGUAACACGAAAUCGUACCCCAAACCGACACAGGUGGUCAGGUAGAGAAUACCAAGGCGCUUGAGAGAACUCGGGUGAAGGAACUAGGCAAAAUGGUGCCGUAACUUCGGGAGAAGGCACGCUGAUAUGUAGGUGAAGUCCCUGCGGACGGAGCUGAAAUCAGUCGAAGAUACCAGCUGGCUGCAACUGUUUAUUAAAAACACAGCACUGUGCAAACACGAAAGUGGACGUAUACGGUGUGACGCCUGCCCGGUGCCGGAAGGUUAAUUGAUGGGGUUAGCGGCAACGCGAAGCUCUUGAUCGAAGCCCCGGUAAACGGCGGCCGUAACUAUAACGGUCCUAAGGUAGCGAAAUUCCUUGUCGGGUAAGUUCCGACCUGCACGAAUGGCGUAAUGAUGGCCAGGCUGUCUCCACCCGAGACUCAGUGAAAUUGAACUCGCUGUGAAGAUGCAGUGUACCCGCGGCAAGACGGAAAGACCCCGUGAACCUUUACUAUAGCUUGACACUGAACACUGGUCCUUGAUGUGUAGGAUAGGUGGGAGGCUUUGAAGCGUGGACGCCAGUCUGCGUGGAGCCAACCUUGAAAUACCACCCUUUAAUGGCUGGUGUUCUAACGUAGACCCGUAAUCCGGGUUGCGGACAGUGUCUGGUGGGUAGUUUGACUGGGGCGGUCUCCUCCCAAAGAGUAACGGAGGAGCACGAAGGUUGGCUAAUCCUGGUCGGACAUCAGGAGGUUAGUGCAAUGGCAUAAGCCAGCUUGACUGCGAGCGUGACGGCGCGAGCAGGUGCGAAAGCAGGUCAUAGUGAUCCGGUGGUUCUGAAUGGAAGGGCCAUCGCUCAACGGAUAAAAGGUACUCCGGGGAUAACAGGCUGAUACCGCCCAAGAGUUCAUAUCGACGGCGGUGUUUGGCACCUCGAUGUCGGCUCAUCACAUCCUGGGGCUGAAGUAGGUCCCAAGGGUAUGGCUGUUCGCCAUUUAAAGUGGUACGCGAGCUGGGUUUAGAACGUCGUGAGACAGUUCGGUCCCUAUCUGCCGUGGGCGCUGGAGAAUUGAGGGGGGCUGCUCCUAGUACGAGAGGACCGGAGUGGACGCAUCACUGGUGUUCGGGUUGUCAUGCCAAUGGCACUGCCCGGUAGCUAAAUGCGGAAGAGAUAAGUGCUGAAAGCAUCUAAGCACGAAACUUGCCCCGAGAUGAGUUCUCCCUGAGACUUUAAGUCUCCUGAAGGAACGUUGAAGACUACGACGUUGAUAGGUCGGGUGUGUAAGCGCAGCGAUGCGUUGAGCUAACCGAUACUAAUGAACCGUGAGGCUUAACCUU
rnacentral:rRNA from 1 species